UACGAGGGGGCGAGCGUUGUUCGGAAUUAUUGGGCGUAAAGGGUGCGUAGGCGGUUUGGUAAGUCUGAUGUGAAAUCUAUGGGCUCAACUCAUAGUCUGCAUCGGAAACUGCCGGGGCUUGAGUAUGGGAGAGGUGAGUGGAAUUCCUGGUGUAGCGGUGAAAUGCGUAGAUAUCAGGAGGAACACCUGUGGCGAAAAGCGGCUCACUGGACCAUAACUGACGCUGAUGCACGAAAAGCUAGGGGAGCAAACAGG
rnacentral:rRNA from 1 species